rnacentral:rRNA from 1 species
AACGAACGCUGGCGGCAUGCCUAAUACAUGCAAGUCGAACGAGACCUCCGGGUGUUGUGGCGUACGAGGGUGUAAGGCGCGGGAAGCUGCCCUUAGGUUCGGAAUAACUCCCCGAAAGGGGUGCUAACACCGGACAAGGUCUCCGGACGGAAGAUAUAUCGCCUUUGGUUGGGCCCGCGUUGGAUUCGCUGGUGGGUAGGGUAAAAGCCUACCACGGCCACGAUCAUUAGCUGGUUCGGGAGACUGAUCAGCCACACUGGGACUGGGACCCGGCCCGGACUCCUACGGAAGGCGGCAGUGGGGAAUAUUGGAAAGUGGGGGAAGGCCUGAUGCAGCACGGCCGGGUGAGUGAUGAAGGCCUUGGGGUUGUAAAGCUCUUUUAACCGGGAUGAUAAUGACAGUACCGGGAGAAUAAGCUCCGGCUAACUCCGUG